CAAAACCCUCCUCAGCUACCUCCUCAGGUGAGGGAGGAUCCUUCUCUCUUUUCAUCAGAUUCACUUGAGCUUCAAAGUCCUGCAUCUUCUGAUCUGCUGCCUCAGGUUCUAUCUCUGCAGUAAGCAAAUUAGUGUGCUCAGAAAGCAACACUGCCUUCUCAAUGUUCUGAAUCAUUGAGUGCAUACAAGAUCUAAACAAGGCCUCAAUCCCAUGAUUCUCUUCAGAAGCCUGCUAAUCAAUUAGACCACAGAAUCAUUAUCAAAAAGUGUUAUCAAUGAAUAUAUUCAAAAUACAAUCUAUCAGUUUGGGCUUCUUUGUCUUGCAGGCAAGCACAUCUUCAAUCUUCUUCUGAUGAUGCUUUUUUGCAGCUGUCAUCUUCUCAGCUCUCUCUCUCUCCAUCUUGGCCUCAAAUCAUUUUCAUGAGCACUUCUGAUCUCAGCACUGCUGCAUCAGCAACUCCACUGCUUCCUUCUCCAACUUCUCACACAUUGGGCCAUUGGCAUCAUUCCUUUCAUAAUAUUAGUCAAAUUCCAG
rnacentral:sRNA from 1 species